rnacentral:tRNA from 1 species
GGCGGUGUAGCUCAGCCUGGUUAGAGCGCUAGACUCAUAAUCUAGAGGUCGUGGGUUCAAAUCUCGCCACCGCCA